rnacentral:lncRNA from 1 species
UUAGGAACAGUAUUAGGAACAGAGUUAGGAACGGUGUUAGGGAUGAAGUUAGGAACAGCAUUAGGAACGGAGUUAGGAACAGAGUUAGGAACAGAGUGAGGAACAGAGUUAGGAA